rnacentral:rRNA from 1 species
CAGCCGCCGCGGUAAUACGUAGGGUGCGAGCGUUAAUCGGAAUUACUGGGCGUAAAGCGUGCGCAGGCGGUUAUAUAAGACAGUUGUGAAAUCCCCGGGCUCAACCUGGGAACUGCAUCUGUGACUGUAUAGCUAGAGUACGGUAGAGGGGGAUGGAAUUCCGCGUGUAGCAGUGAAAUGCGUAGAUAUGCGGAGGAACACCGAUGGCGAAGGCAAUCCCCUGGACCUGUACUGACGCUCAUGCACGAAAGCGUGGGGAGCAAACAGGAUUAGAUACCCCCGUAGUCCCUGUCUCUUAUAC